rnacentral:rRNA from 1 species
GACGAACGCUGGCGGCGUGCUUAACACAUGCAAGUCGAACGGUGAACCUCUUCGGAGGGGAUCAGUGGCGAACGGGUGAGUAACACGUGGGCAACCUGCCCCCGGCUCUGGGAUAACUCCAAGAAAUUGGGGCUAAUACCGGAUGUUCACCGCUUCCCGCAUGGGUGGUGGUGGAAAGGGUUUCCGGCUGGGGAUGGGCCCGCGGCCUAUCAGCUUGUUGGUGGGGUAGUGGCCUACCAAGGCGACGACGGGUAGCCGGCCUGAGAGGGUGACCGGCCACACUGGGACUGAGACACGGCCCAGACUCCUACGGGAGGCAGCAGUGGGGAAUAUCGCGCAAUGGGCGGAAGCCUGACGCAGCGACGCCGCGUGGGGGAUGACGGCCUUCGGGUUGUAAACCUCUUUCAGCAGGGACGAAGCGCAAGUGACGGUACCUGCAGAAGAAGCACCGGCCAACUACGU